GAUGAACGCUGGCGGCGUGCCUCAAACAUGCAAGUCGAGCGGGGCUAUGUAAUAUCGCAAGGUAGAACAUAGCCUAGCGGCGAACGGGUGAGUAACACGUGGGUAACCUGCCUGGAAGACAGGGAUAACGAUUCGAAAGGGUCGCUAAUACCUGAUAAUAUCCUUUCAUCGCAUGGUGAUAGGAAGAAAGGGGAAACCCGCUUUACAGGAUGGGGCCCCGCGUUCCCAGUCUAAGCUAGUUGGUAAGGGUAACGGCCUACCAAGGCGACGAUCAGUAGCCGGCCUGAGAGGGUGGACGGCCACACUGGGACUGAGACACGGCCCAGACUCCUACGGGAGGCAGCAGUGGGGGAAUAUUGCGCAAUGGGGGAAACCCUGACGCAGCGACGCCGCGUGAGCGAAGAAGGCCUUCGGGUUGUAAAGACUCUGUUGUAAGGGACGAAGGAGCUGGGUAGUAACUGACCUGCGGUGACGGUACCUUACCAGCAAGCCCGGCUAACUACGUGCCAGCAGCCGCGGUAAAA
rnacentral:rRNA from 1 species